AAAAAGGUACUCAAGGGCACACAAUGGAUGCCUAGACGUAUAUUACCGAUGAAGGACGUGGAAGGCUGCGAUAAGCCUCGGGGAGCUGUCAACAAGCUUUGAUCCGGGGAUUUCCGAAUGGGGAAACCCAGCACGAGUCAUGUCGUGUUACGCUUGUCUGAAUACAUAGGACAUGAGGCGGGAACCAUCUGAACUGAAACAUCUUAGUAGGAUGAGGAAAAGAAAGUAAAUAACGAUUGCGAAAGUAGUGG
rnacentral:rRNA from 1 species